UGACCUGCGGAAGGAUCAUUAAGGAGUAUUUGCGGGAAAUCGAAAGAAAGUACCGCUCUCCCACCCGUGACUAUAUACUAUGUUGCUUUCCGGGCUUAAACCCCCGGAGAGGACCAAACUCUUGAAUUUAUUACUGUCUGAGUACUAUAUAAUAGUUAAAACUUUCAACAACGGAUCUCUUGGUUCUGGCAUCGAUGAAGAACGCAGCGAAAUGCGAUAAGUAAUGUGAAUUGCAGAAUUCAGUGAAUCAUCGAAUCUUUGAACGCACAUUGCGCCCCUUGGUAUUCCGGGGGGCAUGCCUGUUCGAGCGUCAUUAAUACCAAUCCCUUCGGGGGUCUUGGGGCUUGGGAUCUCCCAGCUCUUAAAAUCAGUGGCGGUGCCUCUCGGCUCUAAGCGUAGUAAUUCUUCUCGCUAUAGUCCCCGGGAGAACACUUGCCAUAACCCCCACACUUUUAAGGUUGACCUCGGAUCAGGUAGGGAUACCCGCUGAACUUAAGCAUAUCAAUAAGCGGAGGAAAAGAAACCAACAGGGAUUACCUCAGUAACGGCGAGUGAAGCGGUAACAGCUCAAAUUUGAAAUCUGGGUCUUUUAGGCUCCGAGUUGUAAUUUGUAGAAGAUGCUUCGGGUGUGGCCCCGGUCUAAGUUCCUUGGAACAGGACGUCAUAGAGGGUGAGAAUCCCGUAUGUGACUGGGUGCUUUCGCUCAUGUGAAGCUCUUUCGACGAGUCGAGUUGUUUGGGAAUGCAGCUCAAAUGGGUGGUAUAUUUCAUCUAAAGCUAAAUAUUGGCCAGAGACCGAUAGCGCACAAGUAGAGUGAUCGAAAGAUGAAAAGCACUUUGGAAAGAGAGUUAAACAGUACGUGAAAUUGUUGAAAGGGAAGCGCUUGCAAUCAGACUUGCACGCCGUUAAUCAUCCAGGGUUCUCUCUGGUGCACUUAGCGGCGUUCAGGCCAGCAUCGGUUUUAGGGGUGGGAUAAAGGCCUUGGGAAUGUAGCUUCUUUCGGGAAGUGUUAUAGCCCUCGGUGCAAUGCCGCCUCCUGGGACCGAGGACCGCGCUCGGCU
rnacentral:rRNA from 1 species